GAUGAACGCUAGCGGCAGGCUUAACACAUGCAAGUCGAGGGGCAGCACGGGUAGCAAUACCUGGUGGCGACCGGCGCAAGGGUGCGUAACGCGUGAGCAACAUGCCCUAUACAGGGGGAUAAUCCAGGGAAACUUGGUCUAAUAUCCCAUAGUAUUUAGAGGAGGCAUCUUCUAUAAAUUAAAGCUUCGGUGGUAUAGGAUUGGCUCGCGUGACAUUAGCUAGAUGGUGAGGUAACGGCUCACCAUGGCAAUGAUGUCUAGGGGUUCUGAGAGGAAGGCCCCCCACACUGGGACUGAGACACGGCCCAGACUCCUACGGGAGGCAGCAGUGAGGAAUAUUGGACAAUGGAUGGAAAUCUGAUCCAGCCAUGCCGCGUGCAGGAAGACAGCCCUAUGGGUUGUAAACUGCUUUUAUAUGGGAGCAAUAAGGUCUACGUGUAGACUGAUGGAGAGUACCAUAUGAAUAAGC
rnacentral:rRNA from 1 species